UGCCGUGAGGUGUCGGGUUAAGUCCCAUAACGAGCGCAACCCCUACCUUACGUUGCCAUCAGGUUAAGCUGGGGACGUCUAAAGGAACUGCCUACGCAAGUAGUGAGGAAGGCGGGGAGUGACGUCAAAUCAGCACGGCCCUUACGUCCAGGGCUACACACGUGCUACAAUGGCCGAUACAGAGGGCAGCUACCUGGUGACAGGAUGCAAAUCUCCAAAGUCGGUCUCAGUUCGGAUCGGAGUCUGCAACCCGACUCCGUGAAGUUGGAUUCGCUAGUAAUCGCGCAUCAGCCAUGGCGCGGUGAAUACGUUCCCGGGCCUU
rnacentral:rRNA from 1 species